rnacentral:snoRNA from 1 species
AACCCAUGGUGAGAGCACCAUCUCAAUAGUCCUUAUAUCUUUCCCAUGCAUCAUAUAAAGUCUCUAAAUCUACUGAACAAAGGAAGACAUGUCAUUCCUCAUGUU